CCACGCUCUCAGGGGCUACCCCAGUUAAGGAGGCGCUGUCCUGGCGUCGGAUGGGGACGGGGAACGCGGCGAGGGCGCUGCGACCUCUGCCCACCUGGCCCGGCCGCAGUCUCGGAGUUCCUGUUCCUCACAGGAGCUAAUUAUUUAUGACAGCUGCAUGGUUCCCCUCCCCCAGUUACUCAGUGCUUGGCACUCGGCACCCCUUACUCAGCACUCAGUACCGCACUCGGCCUCAGGGGACCUGGGCAGAGGGAAGCAGGGAGUCUCCCGCGGAAACUCUUGCUCUGCCAAAGCUUGGGGAGAGGUUGGCCUCUCAUGCUUCUAACUCAUCAGCUGUUACCUGUGGGAGCUACUACCUACUCAGCAUCGCUCAGGGCACUGCAUUACGCCUUCCAGGCAAUUAUACAAGGUACUGCUUGAGCUUAAGCAAACUGAGAGAAGAUUUAGCACACUUUCUAAAGAGAAACAGAUGAUCAAGACUCUGCUAGCAGGAGAAAAAGAGAGAAAAGAGAGAUGAAAAAGUCUUGUGUGACCAGAAGCUUAUCAACCUUGUGUGCUGUUGGCUUACUUUAACAUUUACAGCAGAUGAUAGAAUUGUGUUCAGAUGACACAAUAAGGUAUCAAAUGACUUCACGAAAGCAAGACGGCACUGAACCCCAAGUUUGUGCCUUCAGUCUCUCGCCUCGGCACCUAGGUAAUCCUUUGCCCACAGGACCACACCACCCUCCCCCAGUGAGAGGAACCAGAGUGACGGGAAAGGGAAGCCCCACACAACCAGCACUCGAGGCCCGGCCCACUGGGAGCACUGGGUGGCCUGGCCUGGGAAAGCCCCUUGUGCCCCUUGGGUGGCACCAGCAGGUACCCGUGGGAGCUCCAGCAGCACCAGACAAACCAAGCAGACCCAAGAUAGCACCAUGAAGGCUCUGAACAUCAAAUUGUCACUGGAAGCAUGGCCUGCAGAAGCGGGCCACAAUCCUCACACUAAACCUAAGCAGAGCGACUGGCUGCAAAAAGGAAAGACUUAAAAAAUAGGAUCCAGAGACCUUCCUCUUCCUCAUGAGUUUUCCAAAUCACACUUGAUUGAAACAAAAACGUUAGCACCAUCUGAGACUCAGGACAGUGAUAUUUAUGAGCGGGGAGGGUAAAGGAAGCUCCAUGCUAUAAGUUCCGCACCUCGCUUGAAGUAGGAAAAGGCCACGGCACGCAGGACUCACUGAGUGGCUACCAAAAGAAACCAACGCUGAGCUAUAGCAUGGCAAGCUAAUACUACAUUUUGGAAAAGCACGCAUAUUGAAAUUUGCGUCAUUUGUGCUAUUAUUUGUGCUAUUAUAAAGACCUGACGCCUGGUGGAACCGUGCUUACAAUGUGUGGGUACUUAAACGCGUGUUCUGAAAAACUCCUCUGCUGCUUCUUCCUCUGAUUUCACAUUCGGUAAACCUGCAAGUGCACACAUUUCAUCCCCUUGCAAGACUGUUGUCAGUGCUCAGUAAGUCUACAUUUUACAUAGGAUGAGGUGAUUACAAAGAUGGCACCAUGGAUAAACGACACUACCUGUGUUAGCAGUUGUGACUUUUCCUUCU
rnacentral:lncRNA from 1 species